rnacentral:lncRNA from 1 species
CUCCUCCCUCGCUCUCCCCCCUUCACUCUUUCUCUUCCUCCCUCCCACCUCCCUCGCUCCCUCCCUCCCUGCUGCAUUUUGCAUGAGCUAUCUAGGUCAUUAGCAUUUUAGCGUAUGCAAGACUUGACAAAGCUGAUGAGGGGCCAGAUGGGCCUCGCUCUUAUGAGUUUUUUUUCUUUUUUUUUUUUUUUUUUUUUCCUUUUCCUUUUUCCCCUCCACCACUUGGGACCUGAGCGAGAGGACUGCAGCAGGCGAGUUCCGGAAGGCUGACUGCCCAGAUCCCGGCCCCGGCCCGCGGCAGCGGCCCCCGCGGCACGCCCGGCCGGGCUGCGCCUGGACUCCGUGAGCAAGAGACGGCCCAGGCCCAGAUCUCUGUUUAAGCGGAAAGAAAUUGAUCCUUUAACAAAGACAAAGAUGAGACUUCCCAGAAGAGGUGGCAUUGAGCUGGGCCUGAAAGGGCAGAUGAAUUUCAACAUGUAAAGAAGAGGAAGAAGGACAUUAAAGACAGAGGGAAGAACAUGAAAUGUCCACAGGCAGUGAAGUACCCAUAGGUUCAUGAUGCUGGGCUAAUCUCUAUGCCUGAAAGU